UCCUCGAUGGUCUAACGGUUAUGAUGGUCGCUUGUCACGCGAUCGACCUGGGUUCGACUCCCAGUCGGGGAG